rnacentral:rRNA from 1 species
AUACGGAGGAUCCGAGCGUUAUCCGGAUUUAUUGGGUUUAAAGGGUGCGCAGGCGGCCAUUUAAGUCAGCGGUUAAAUCGUGGGGCUCAACCCCAUUCUGCCGUUGAUACUGGGUGGCUUGAUUGCGGUCGAGGUUGGCGGAAUUCGUUGUGUAGCGGUGAAAUGCAUAGAUAUGACGAAGAACACCGAUUGCGUAGGCAGCUGACCAGAUCGCAAAUGACGCUCAUGCACGAAAGUGCGGGGAUCGAACAGGAUUAGAUACCCUGGUAGUCCGCACAGUAAACGAUGAAUACUUGUUUUCGGCGAUAUAAUGUCGGAGGCCAAGCGAAAGCAUUAAGUAUUCCACCUGGGGAGUACGCCGGCAACGGUGAAACUCAAAGGAAUUGGCGGGG